rnacentral:rRNA from 1 species
AUUGAACGCUGGCGGCAGGCCUAACACAUGCAAGUCGAACGGUAACAGGAAGCAGCUUGCUGCUUCGCUGACGAGUGGCGGACGGGUGAGUAAUGUCUGGGAAACUGCCUGAUGGAGGGGGAUAACUACUGGAAACGGUAGCUAAUACCGCAUAACGUCGCAAGACCAAAGAGGGGGACCUUCGGGCCUCUUGCCAUCAGAUGUGCCCAGAUGGGAUUAGCUUGUUGGUGGGGUAACGGCUCACCAAGGCGACGAUCCCUAGCUGGUCUGAGAGGAUGACCAGCCACACUGGAACUGAGACACGGUCCAGACUCCUACGGGAGGCAGCAGUGGGGAAUAUUGCACAAUGGGCGCAAGCCUGAUGCAGCCAUGCCGCGUGUAUGAAGAAGGCCUUCGGGUUGUAAAGUACUUUCAGCGGGGAGGAAGGUGUUGUGGUUAAUAACCRCAGCAAUUGACGUUACCCGCAGAAGAAGCACCGGCUAACUCCGUGCCAGCAGCCGCGGUAAUACGGAGGGUGCAAGCGUUAAUCGGAAUUACUGGGCGUAAAGCGCACGCAGGCGGUCUGUUAAGUCAGAUGUGAAAUCCCCGGGCUCAACCUGGGAACUGCAUCUGAUACUGGCAGGCUUGAGUCUCGUAGAGGGGGGUAGAAUUCCAGGUGUAGCGGUGAAAUGCGUAGAGAUCUGGAGGAAUACCGGUGGCG